AUAUGCGUAUUCACUACGGGAGGCAGCAGUGAGGAAUAUUGGUCAAUGGGCGAGAGCCUGAACCAGCCAAAUCGCGUGAAGGAUGAAGGUAUUAUGUAUUGUAAACUUCUUUUGUCAGGGAAUAAAGUGCAUCACGUGUGGUGUUUUGUAAGUACCUGAAGAAUAAGGAUCGGCUAACUCCGUGCCAGCAGCCGCGGUAAUACGGAGGAUCCAAGCGUUAUCCGGAUUUAUUGGGUUUAAAGGGUGCGUAGGCGGGCUUGUAAGUCAGCGGUGAAAGUUCUCGGCUCAACCGAGGAAUUGCCGUUGAAACUGUAGGCCUUGAGUAUAGAUGAGGUGGGCGGAAUUCGUAGUGUAGCGGUGAAAUGCUUAGAUAUUACGAAGAACUCCAAUUGCGAAGGCAGCUCACUGGGCUAUAACUGACGCUGAGGCACGAAGUGCGGGGAUCAAAAGAUUAGAUACCCUGGAGUCGCCGAACGAUGAAACUCAAAGGAAUCGACGGGGGCCCCGCACAAGCGGAGGAACAUGUGGUUUAAUUCGAUGAUACGCGAGGAACCUUACCCGGGCUUGAAUUGCAUUUGAAUAAGCAGGAAACUGUUUAGCCGGCAAUGGCAAAUGUGAAGGUGCUGCAUGGUUGUCGUCAGCUCGUGCCGUGAGGUGUCGGCUUAAGUGCCAUAACGAGCGCAACCCUCAUCAUUAGUUACUAACAGGUCAUGCUGAGGACUCUAGUGAGACUGCCAGCGUAAGCUGUGAGGAAGGUGGGGAUGACGUCAAAUCAGCACGGCCCUUACGUCCGGGGCGACACACGUGUUACAAUGGGGGGGACAGCAGGCAGCUACACGGCGACGUGAUGCCAAUCCCUAAACCCCCUCUCAGUUCGGAUCGAAGUCUGCAACCCGACUUCGUGAAGCUGGAUUCGCUAGAUGAAUCGCGCAUCAGCCAUGGCGCGGUGAAUACGUCCCGGGCCUG
rnacentral:rRNA from 1 species